rnacentral:lncRNA from 1 species
UAUGUGAAUGUAUGUAUUGUGACUGUAUGUUUUUAUGUAUAUAUGUGUUUAAGCAUUUAUUUAUUUACUUUCUUUCUGAACCAGAUGGAGUGGAUCAUAUAUCACCAAGAGGUCCUAGACUUGGCAGCGGAUGUUGUUGGGCUGUCUUUCUUCAGGAAGGUUGAAUAUGUUCUUUGUUCAAGAAAGGUGUGGACAAAAUAAAGCAAAGGAAAGGAAGGAAACAAAAUGCAACAGCAACAUUUCAAGAUUGAAACACAAGAAAGAAUUCAGUUAUCAAAGCAAACAUGAAGUGAAAUAAUGAAAGCAGACAUCUUUAAAAAUCAGUACAUUUAGAUUCUGAAGAAAUGGAAGACACUUAGAGAUGCUGAUGUAAUCAAAUCUAUCUUUGGGGCUACUUGAAUUUUCUCUUUAUUCCAAGCUGAGCCAUCCUUAAAUAUAAAUGAGUAAAAGAAUAUAAAAGUAAAUCUGGAUAAUCUGAAAACAUAAUACCCGUUAAAAUUAAUUCAUUAAAUAAAAAUAGUACUCACAAAAUUAGGAACA